CAGCACGUUCCACACUUUGGCCCAUCCUCUGCCAGCCCAGCCCCUGCGGAGGUAUCCACGCCUCACCCGGGAAGAAGAAGAGCUCCGGGUCUCAAUCCUCAGUACUUCGGUUUUCAAUCCUCAGUACUUUUUUCUCCGACUCUUGCUAGUCCUGGGCCCUUGGCUGGCCUGGAGUGAGAAACCAAAACUCUUCCCCAAGUAGUGGCCUGGGGGUUCCUGCAGACCCGUUUCCCGGUUACUUCCAAGUGAAGACAAAGGCUGAACUGAAGACUAGGAGCUCUGGAAGCAGACAGACCAGCCAAAGCCCAGCUUUACCUCACUGCUGUGUGACUCUGAGCAGGAUUAUCAUCUUACCCAGGAGAGCAGCAUUUCCAAAUGGCAGGCCGCCAGCAGGUCCAGAGCCUCACCCCACAGUGUUCAUCCUCGGACAGACACAUUCCCUGCCAUAAAUGUUUCAGUAUCUAUUUCUAACAGAAAACACAACAAAGGCUCUGAACCACGCUGUCUCCUCACUCCUUAUGUCUUCUGACGAAACCUGGUGUUUCCCCACGUGGCCCAGCAUGGUGUGGCAUGCCCUGCUCUUGGAAAAUCGAGAUGGAGUACACAGGCCAAGUGAAGUUCCUUCCCUGACGCUACACCCUCCUAGAAGCCUCAAGACGCCUGCUGGCACCCCCGGUUUAGCAGCUCUUUUGUAGAAGUUGUUCCAUCUGGUACCACUUCAGAGGCGAAUGAAUGGACUGUUACCGCCAAAUAAAAAUUGUCAGUCGC